AAGUCGCAGUUUCCCCUCCGCGCCGGGCCCUUCUCGGCGGCGCGCCGCGGCGGCGGCGGAGGCGCAUGUCUACGUGGAAGCAGGAGGGCGGUGGCAAGGGGUUCCCGCUGCCUCGCGCUUGUGGAUCGCCGCGUAACCUGCUGUGAGUGGUUAGACUGACCGAGGCAAGCGGGAGUCGUGCGCCGUUCACCACGUGUUCGACGAAAUGCGCCCUGGAAGCUUUGAGGUUUCGCAGAUUCUAGUGUGGCACGAGUAGGAUUCGGAUGAUCUUCGCAAUGGUUAUUUUGGACUUUUGCUGUGGGUUUAAUUUUGUUUUCGCAUACAGGAGUAAUAAAUUGGAAAAAAGACCAGUGGUAAUUUCCGUUAGUUUAUGUGGUGCCUCAUAGAUACCUACUAAGAUACCUACUAGUGACGCAUAAAGAGAUGGAACACGAAUAUUUUAGCGCUGCACAUAUGUACACAUCAUACACUCGUACAUAUUUUCUUUUAUGAAAUCCUAGUACAUUUUUAAGCUGUGUGGUUUGUGGAGAUUUGGAGAAGAUGACUUCUAUGUGAUUACAACUUGCUGCUGCAAAUCUGGCAACGUUGACUUAUCUGCCUGUUUUACCAAAAAAAGCCACUGUUGUCUUGUCAACCUUAUCUCCAACAUCUUGAACUAGUGGAACAUCUCCAUUCCAUCACGUGGUAGAAGUUAUGUUUUAUUUUUUUUUCUCCGCGAUGUGUAUUAUUGCUGAAUUGCUAAGGGUGCUUAUUUGAGUUAGAAUAGGUGGCAGAUUUUCUACUUCUGAACAGAGAUAUGUCUGUUCUGUUUUCUUUGGUUGAAAGAGGUACUCAAAGUUCAGUUUUAUUAUAGCUUCGACUUGGUGUAAGUAGUGCUCCCUGGAAACACAAUUACGUGUCGUAUUGGACAUGGAAGCGACUCAUACACAAAAUGGAGCAUUAAUUCAUAUUUUAAUAUAUCUUUGAAACAAACAAUAUUUUGAAGCACAUUUCAAGACAAAUCUGCAGAGAUCAUUUUCACAUGUUCCAUUAAUCAAUCUCAAUGUGCAAAAGACAUCACUAGAGGAAAUUAAAAAAAUGUGGUUUUCAUGCAUUCCAGAUACCAUUAUUAUGGCUGAGGGAGUAUCAGAGUUAUUCACAAGUUUUGUGAUCACUAGCUUACGAAUCUGAUAAAGUUGCUUAAGCACAUUCAAACCUCUGGAUCAAUUUCAUUGUUUGCUUCAUGUGCUAGAAAGAAAGAAUGUUAUUUAGGUCAUAUUCAUUUUAUAUGUAUGAUCUGCCCUGUGAAAUAUACAACUAUAGUAAGCCUAAAUAUAUUGUAACCAAUUCCCACAUGUUUUUCUGCUCCUCCUUUUUCCUAGCAGGCAUGCAUUUUCACAAUUGAGGAUACAGUGACAUUUAUUUUCUGUAAAUUAUGAUGAAAAUCUAGAUGAGCUACUUUUUUUAAGCUGGGGUAAUUAUUAGUUCAAAGUUACAUCAUUAUGAGCAGAAUGCCCAAUAAUGCCUAUCUUUGUUACUGGGUGGUAGGGUCCAGAUUCUCUUUUAAGAAAAAUACAAAUGGUAGAAUACGAAAACAGAACAGUUUAUAGGAUGGUACUGACCUACCAGCAAAAAGAAUUAUUCAAAUUCAACUCCUAUUAUAAUAUUCAUAUGCUAGAAAAACAGAAUUCUGACAAUUCUCCUCAUCCUAUAUAUUAGCUGGACUUGUCAGCGUCAUGUUUCUUCUCAGCAAACUGCUCCCUUCUCAGUUUACACCUGGCACAAAUGUUUCUUGACUAGAUCUAUUAUAUGAGUGCCGCUAAAAGUUUCAGAACUUUUGUGCAGAUUCAAAUAUUGGUUUUGCUUAUUCUAUAAUAUUUUCAUUUCUUCAGGUCUUUUGAAUGAUUCGCAAAAUCUAAUUGACAGGAAAGAGUUGUGUGCGGUGUAUCCUAGUAUUGUGAUGCUUCUUUCUUUCUUUCCCAAAUAAAUCAAAAUGUGCUGAUGGUAAAGAAACAUGUGGCAUGUGGCAUGUGGCAUGUGAAGAAUGUUCUCCAUAAAAGUCUUAACAACAUAACUUUCUGCAGGCCAGUAAUGCAUUUCAUUUUUUCCGUUCCAGAUUUUUUUUAAUUCUCAGCUUUGAAUUUUGAAGGUGUAAAAUUAAACAUGUAUAUAUGGAGCCAUGGCAACUGUAGUUGAGAAACCUAUAGAGAACUUCAUACUGUUCUAAACUUUCCAUUCCCACACCCACGACUCCUAGAUUUAUGCUUAUUUCCUUUCCCAUAAUAUAUUAAUAUUACCAGUUUCUAACUUCACCUGAUCUGUCAUUCAUGCCUAACAUAAUCUUGAAAUCUUGUGGUAUGGCAUUUAGCCCCCAAAUAAGUGGCUGUGGCUCAACCCUUCAUCCUACCCCUAGGUUACCUUAUCCACUAGCUCAGAGUUAGUGUAUUCGCUGUUUCCGUCUGUCCUUUUGUUGUCUCUUUUAAAGCAUCCUGUUGCUAUGGGCGUGUGCUACUUGCAUCCACUUAUUGCAUGUUUUGGUGAUCACAUCCUCAUCUUACGAUAUUAUCCAAGUAAAACCUAAAUAAGAUCUUACCUCUGAAAAUAGAAUUUUCCAUUAUAAUCUUUCUGGGGAUUUGUUUUGCAUUUUGACUUUUUUUUUCAAUUAUUCAUUCCAUUGUUAUCAUAGGACUUUUCUCAUUUGAUUGUAAAAUUUGAUAUUUGUCUUGAUCAUCUUUUAACUCUGUCUUCACAGCAGAAGACCCCCAGAGGUAUUUUAUUUUCUCAAAUAUCUUGGCCUAUAUUUUUCCUAAUAAAUUAGGGAAAGGUGCAAUAGUGGAAAAAGGAAGUGAUAGUUUAGAUCUUCCUAUUACUUUCAUCUAGCUGAGUGCCAUUGAGAAGCUCAUUUCACUAUACUGACUAUGCAAGUAAAUUUCUCCUUUUGUUAGAAGCGAUUGGCAUGAUUAUCAUACUUCAGCUUGCACUUGAUGUUCUUCAUUCAUAACUAUUUAGUUGAUUUUGUCCUCAACCAUACAUAACUUUUUGGAUUUUGUAUUUCUCUUUUUUACCUUUAUGUUUAAAUAAGUCUUUGUGGUCAUAGAUUCAGAAUUAGCAGAUGUUAUUUGUUGCUUGAAUCUUCUGGUUUUAUUCUUGAAAAUAUGUUGGAUUGUGUGUGGCAGCAGGCCUUCAAAACUAACCGUUUGACAUUGCAUCAUGCUUAUGCUAUUUUCUUUUUCUGUACUGGCCUAUUAUGUUUGUACUGUAAUAUUUAUUAUACAUAUAUACAUCUCACAUGAUCCCCUCACCCACAUAAACACACACACGAGGGUCCAUGUAGGCAUGGAGCACAGUGUCUUUUUGCACAAAGCCAUGAUCCCAUUGGAUUUGCAGAGCCUUCUGAAAGCUACAUUUUUGUUUGGGACAAGUCUAUCAUUGAGCUGGGCGCCUUACAUCUUGUGACAGUAAAUGAAUUACUCCCACACACUCGCUCUCUCUCCAGGAGUGAUUCAAAACUAUAUACGUAUGCACCUUAACCAUCAUAUAGCCAGAAUCUGGCUGUGUUUGCGCAAACAUUAUCCAUCUGUACGAAUGGUAGUUUGAGCGCAGUCUGAAAUUUUCAUCUAUGUACUUAUGUGUGAACAUCUAGCAUGGCCUAUCUCAAUUGACAGAUUAGCAAAAAGCUGUUAUUUGGCUUACAUACUAUAUCUAGCUCUGAUUCUGUGGCAUAGUUUUCUUGCAUUGCAAGUGAGAUGAAAAUAAUAUAUGGCGUCCAGUGAAAUUUCACAUAUAGUGAGUUAUUUUCUAACAGAUUUAUCCUGUACCAGUCAAUUCCACUAAGUCAAGAGGAUCUAGCAUGCAUGUCUUGUACAAUACCAUGUGAAAAAACUACAGUAAGUGUGUUAUCUAUACAUGUUUGAAAGUUUAGAUAUUACUCUGAGGCGCGGUAGGUUUCCUAGAAUAAGCUAACUUUUAGUAAGUUAAAUAUGUUUCAUUAGGAUCAUUCUCGUCCUAAUUGCCCAAGUUCUAUAAGUGAAGUUCUGAUUCCUGUCCACGUUGUUCAUCAAUGAAUGAAGAGGCAAGGACUGUACUAAUUGCUGCAUUGGAGCAUCAUUUUGCUCACCUUUUGAUCACGCAUCCUCUGCGUAAUCUCUGGAUGGCGCUGGAUCCAAUGUCCAAAAGACAACCUCUGCAUUCCAUCUGAAAUUCAGAUGAUUCAGAACUCUGGAACUAUGCCUGAUAAAUCUUGUGCAGAGCAAGGUGGAAAGGUGAGUAGAGAGGUGUGCUCGUGAGUAAGUUGAAACCUUAUGCUCCUCCCCAAAUAAAAUUGUAUGCAGCCCACCUGGGAUUUGGCACCCACCAUGUAUCCCUCUGCACCUACUUCUUCUAAAGCUGAUAUUAAUGUGCCGGAAAUUGAAUUGCAGAUCUCCACUCUACCACUUGCCUGCUGAUCUCUGAUUGUCUGCAUUGCAUGGCGUUGCCGGUUGAUCGGGCAGCCUUGUCAAUUUCUGUAUUCUUUUGUAGAUAUGACAUGUAGUGCUGCGAUGAUCUAUACAAUUCAUCUGACCAUGAGAGCGUGGUGCACGUACAUACAGAGGUGAUCAGUGGGCGCGCCCUUGCUGCAUGCAGCCUGCCUGCCUGCCCCUCUUGCUCAAAUCUGCACCAUUAGCUAGCCUGUUUGUCCCCGUGCUGCGGUUUGUCCCCAAUGGGGAUCACGAGAGUGUGGAGGAACAAAUUGCCCAGAUUUUGGCUGCACACCCAUGGAAGGUUGUGUGCUUGUCAUGUGGGAAGAGCCGUCGCUUUCAGGGUUUAAGCAGUUUCUGCUUCUCUCCUACCGAGUCAUAGCAAUAAGAGAGGGAGGGUUGGCUGGGCUGGAUGGAUCAUAUGUGAUUGUGAGAUUAUCAAGAGGCAGGUAUGGCCAUUUUCUUGCAUGUUAGGGAGAUGCUGCGAUGUCGUUAUAGCUAAUGAACUUUGCCCUCUUUGAAUGAUGAAAGGGUAAGCUGUUGGUUGAAUGGUCAGAGGGAUGUAGAUCGGCUAGCAAAUGUACUAUGUCCUGUUUCAAAGUCAUGGGGAGGUUUUGGCACAUAUACGUAUGGCCAUGACUCACAUGAUCCGUAAAAUUAGGAGAAUUAUUUUUUGCAUUUGUAAUGUACAACUGUCACGACACCUGGUUGAUGUUUGUGCAGGCGCAGAAAACACUUGUUGAUCAAAGUCAGGUUUUUCUUUCAGAUAAUCUCAGGAGCUCUGACGUUCACUUAAGAAACGGUGUGGGCACUCAAGUCAAUUCAAUCUCCUUUGGAAGUGUCCGUCCUAAGGCCAAUGCUAGCUUGAUUUAGCUGUGGACUAUGGUAGAGGCAAAACUAGUACUCCAUUCUGUUUGGCUGUUUGCUGCUGUCACUAAAUCCAAAAGGCAUGCUUGCAUGGGUCCCAAGGCGCAUGAAGUGUCUCAGAGAGAGGAGAGAGAGGGGAUUCGGAGGGUGUGUUUGGCCUCAGUGAGACCUAUCGAUGAUCCAGCUGCUGAAAUCACUCAGAUCCUACACAGGACUCCGACCGCUCUGAAGCACUCCGGCUUUUGUUCAACCGAUCUGUCGUUUAUACCUCAGUAUGGCAACGUGCAUGUCCCUAAUUGCAAGAGAGAGCAAGGAGAACAUCGAUGGCAUGUGAGAGCGAGUUAGUUAUUAUCUAACCCUAGAUGUGACCAUGUCAUGGUACCAGUGACCUACUAGACGUACAAUGAUUGUUGAUGGACUGGCUUUCUUGUCUGAGAAUGGUGUAAUUCAUAAUAGACUGUUUCUUUUCAUUUUAAAAAAGAGAUUUACUCCUUUUAAGAUGACUUAGAUCUUGUAUUUGUGUAAGUCACCAACGUGAACCGUUGGAUCCCGUCCAGGAUCGAUCUGUGUGUCUUGUUUUGUUUUUGUUUUUUUUAAAAAGGCUCAAACAUCUUUAAUGAGGA